rnacentral:rRNA from 1 species
GACGAACGCUGGCGGCGCGCUUAACACAUGCAAGUCGAACGGAGAGGCCUGCUUUCCCUUGUGGAUUGCGGGUACUCGAGUGGCGAACGGGUGAGUAACACGUGAGUGAUCUGCCCCCAACUUGGGUAUAAGCCUGGGAAACUGGGUCUAAUUCCCGAUAGGACUGCAGGGUGGUGCCUGUGGUGGAAAACGAUUUUCUAGUGGUUGGGGAUGAGCUCGCGGCCUAUCAGCUUGUUGGUGGGGUAAUGGCCUACCAAGGCGGCGACGGGUAGCCGGCCUGAGAGGGUGGACGGCCACAUUGGGACUGAGAUACGGCCCAGACUCCUACGGGAGGCAGCAGUGGGGAAUAUUACACAAUGGGCGGAAGCCUGAUGCAGCGACGCCGCGUGGGGGAUGACGGCCUUCGGGUUGUAAACUCCUUUCGACCGCGAGGAAGCCACCUGGUUGGAAGGGUGGUGACGGUAGUGGUGGAAGAAGCACCGGCUAACUACGUG